GACAGAGGGUGCAAACGUUGUUCGGAUUUACUGGGCGUAAAGCGCGUGUAGGCGGCUUUGCAAGUCGGAUGUGAAAGCCCACGGCUCAACCGUGGAAGUGCAUCCGAAACUGCAUGGCUUGAGUCUCGGAGAGGAAGGUGGAAUGCUUGGUGUAGAGGUGAAAUUCGUAGAUAUCUGGAGGAAUACCGGUGGCGAAGGCGGCAUCCUGGACCAUAACUGACGCUGAGGCGCGAAAGCUAGGGGAGCAAACGGG
rnacentral:rRNA from 1 species